rnacentral:lncRNA from 1 species
GCCUUGCAGCAGCUACAAGAAGAAUUGCAGAAUAAGAGCCAACAGCUUCGUGCCUGGGAGGCUGAAAAAUACAAUGAGAUUCGAACCCAGGAACAAAACAUCCAGCACCUAAACCAUAGUCUGAGUCACAAGGAGCAGUUGCUUCAGGAAUUUCGGGAGCUCCUACGGUAUCGAGAUAACUCAGACAAAACCCUUGAAGCAAAUGAAACGUUGCUUGAGAAACUUCGCCAGCGAAUACAUGAUAAAGCUGUUGCUCUGGAGAGCACUCCCAGGAGAUGGAAAGCCUGAGGGAGGCUCUGCUGUCCUCUCGAUCCCACCUUCAAGAGCUGGAAGAGGAGCUGGAGCACCAGAAGGUGGAAAGGCAGCAGCUUUUGGAAGACUUGAGGGAGAAGCAGUAAGAGGUCUUGCGUUUAAGGGAGGAACGUCUUUCCCUCCAGGAAAACGACUCCAGCUUACAGCCUGGAUGUCUGUCACCAAAUCCCUUUGAGCAGUGACCUGAACCACCUGGUGGCAGAGGUAUGAGCUCUGAGAGGGCAGCUGGAGAAGAGCAUUCAGGGGAACAAUUGUCUGUGACUGCAGCUGCAACAGCAGCUGGAUAGCCUGCUGGCAAAGCCAGCCUCAGCCCCUCCUCUGUUAACCAGAACUUCCCAGCCAGCGCUGACCCUGGAAACAAGCAGCUGCUCCUCCAAGGUGCUAGGCAGCAAAGGCAUUCAUGAGCUUCGGAGCAGCACCAGUGCCCUGCACCAUGCCCUAGAGGAGUCGGCUUCCCUCCUCACCAUGUUCUGGAGAGCGGCCCUGCCAAGCACCCACAUCCCUGUGCUGCCUGGCAAAGUGGGAGAAUCAACAGAAACGGAACUUCUGGAACUGAGAACCAAAGUAUCCAAACAGGAGCGGCUCCUUCAGAGCACAGCUGAGCGUCUGAAGACCGCCAACCAACAGAAGGAGAGCAUGGAGCAGUUCAUCGUCAGCCAGCUAACCAGAACACAUGAUGUUUUAAAGAAGGCAAGGACUAACUUAGAGGUAAAAUCCCUAAGGGCUCU